CGUCACACAAAUUCACAAACACAAAAUUGCAAGAAACAGUUAUAACGACAUAUACUUUUCGUUUUGUAAAUCACUUUUGAGUAAUCAUCUUCAUCAAGUGGUUGACUGUGUGCAAGUUGAACAGAAAAAAAUCACAAUGAAAUUAUUCAAUAUAACAUUAUAUUUUAUAUGCAUUGCAUUUUGUGUACUUUCAUUUGGCCAUAUUAUCACACAAGCUAAAGAUGACUUUGGUGGUGAUAAUACUUUAUUUAACGGUAAACUUGAAAAGGAAGAAGGUAGCGUAGGUAACACCGUAACAAUUUGAAAUGACACACGGCACAAGAUUUAAAUUAAGUAUAUAUAUAUAUAUCUUUAAAUCUAAAUUAAAAUGAAUAUAAUAUCUUUAAAAUAAUAACAUUAAAAUUAUAAAUAGUAAAAAUGUAUCUUUGUUUUUAGUAAAAUAAUAAAACAAUGAAUCAUUUUAAAAGAAAAUACAUUUUUUAGUCCAUAUGCACAGUGCUAACUGUAAAUAAACAUGUGAAAUUUAACUCAAAUAUAUAUGAUUAAAAAUAAAUAUACCUAUUAUUAUCUGUAACAUGGACGUUCU